ACAGUACAAACUGAGCAGGCCAAUAAAUCAUGUAUUUAUCGGAGCCGGGCCUUAAUUGGCAGCAGGAUAUUAUGAUACCUGUGGGACAGU
rnacentral:ncRNA from 1 species